rnacentral:rRNA from 1 species
AAAGGUACGGUCUGCUCCCUGAUAGUUGCUAUUAAAGAGCCGCGGUAACCUGACCGUGCGAAGGUAGCAUAAUCAAUAGUCUUUUAAUUGAUGGCUGGAAUGAAUGAUUUAAUGAGGUUGGCACUGUCUCAAUAAAAAGGUUGAAUUUUAUUUUUUUGUUAAAAAGCGAAAAUAAAUUUAAAAGACGAGAAGACCCUGUAGAUUUUUACAAUGGAUUUUAUAAACGUUAAAGGGAGAAGGGUUAAGGUGGGUUAGGGAAAUUGUUUGGUUGGGGCGACAGGAAAGGAAAAAAAGCCUUUCUUUGCAUUUAAUACCAAUAGGUAAAUGAAGGACCCAAUACAUGUAGGUUGGAAAAAAGAAGAAGAUACCUCAGGGAUAACAGCGUAAUUUUUUUUGAGAGCCCAUAUCGACAAAAAAGAUUGCGACCUCGAUGUUGGAUUAAGAGUAACUCCGGGUGCAGAAGUUCGGGGAUCAGGUCUGUUCGACCU